rnacentral:lncRNA from 1 species
AUCCAGGGUGUUUGAAGCCCGUGUAGGGUUUAGAAAUGGAUGAAAAGCCACCAUCUUGAUGAUAUUUACAGUAGCUCUGCUUGGAGUUCAGCUCACAAAGCAAGCACAAGUUCUGGUAAAUGCUAGGUUUUUGAUUAUUAGGACAGCGAAUGACGUUUCCAAGGACAGCGAAUGACGUUUCCAGCUAGUCCUGAAUUUGUGCGGCAGCUCUUCUGUAUGUAGCUGGCUCGUCUUCCGCCCACAGAUGCUGGCUCACACCCAUUUUGUGUGGGCAAAGCCUGUCUUUGUACAUUCAAAAUGGGCAUCUGUUCACUUCUGUGGGUGCAGGCCUGUUGCAAAAGCAAGCGUGCAGAAUCUGGAGGUGGGCCCCAAAAGUUUCCCCUGUAUGGUUAGAGGAGCAAAGUCCUAGCAGUGGCUCAGUACCUGGGGUGGUUUGCUUUGGCAGAGCAAAGGAAAUAGAUGGAAGUGCCCACAAGGUUCCCACCCAGAGCAUGCUGAGUAACUUUCUAGCUGCAUUGUUCCAGGGACGUGCUAAGCUCUUUGCUGGGGCAGAUGCAUGCUGGUGAAAUGGAAUCUUGAUACGUGCAUAAAUGAUCUGAGGGUGCGGAAGAAAGGUCUCUCAAAGUUUGCUGUACAAAUAUGUCUAUUCAGUGAAAUGCUAGGUUGUAAGAGUGUAAUGGACGGGCCAGUGUGCAGGAGACCCACUUGAACAUACAUACAUGUGUUGCCUCCAGAGUCUGGAGACUCACGGGGAUAUACCAGUAGCCAGGCGGGGGUGUGUGUUGGGGGGUAGGGAUUCUCCUUCAGCUCCUGUAGGAUAGCCUGUGUGUUGGGAACACGAGGAACAGAGCUCUAAUCUGUGCUGCUUGAACAAGGAUCUGUCUGGGUGGGGAACAUGUAACUCUUUGGGGGCAGGUGACUUUCUGAGUCUGGAAGUGGAUUUUAAUUGACACUGGUGAGUUUGUUAAUAGCUUAGCUGGUGUGUUGCAUUUUGUACAUAUACUUUGGGGAGUCUUGUUGGGAGAUAACCUCAUACGUUGUCACACAUAUGUAUACAUAUAUAAAUAUGUUGUAAUACGUUAUAGGCUAUUUGAGGCCUAGU